GUGGGGAAUAUUGGACAAUGGGCGAAAGCCUGAUCCAGCCAUGCCGCGUGUGUGAAGAAGGUCUUCGGAUUGUAAAGCACUUUAAGUUGGGAGGAAGGGCAUUAACCUAAUACGUUAGUGUUUUGACGUUACCGACAGAAUAAGCACCGGCUAACUUCGUGCCAGCAGCCGCGGUAAUACGAAGGGUGCAAGCGUUAAUCGGAAUUACUGGGCGUAAAGCGCGCGUAGGUGGUUCGUUAAGUUGGAUGUGAAAGCCCCGGGCUCAACCUGGGAACUGCAUCCAAAACUGGCGAGCUAGAGUACGGUAGAGGGUGGUGGAAUUUCCUGUGUAGCGGUGAAAUGCGUAGAUAUAGGAAGGAACACCAGUGGCGAAGGCGACCACCUGGACUGAUACUGACACUGAGGUGCGAAAGCGUGGGGAGCAAACAGGAUUAGAUACCCUUGUAGUCC
rnacentral:rRNA from 1 species